GGAAAGGAGUGUGGGCCUGAACAUGUGAGUAUCUGAAGAAAUGGUGUGGAGAAACAUGAGGGAGGUCUGGCUCAGCAGCAACUGAGUGCUGGGCUGUUGGACCCUCAUGUGACAAUGGGACAAAGGCCAUUGUUGGAGAUGGAGUGUGAUGGGAAGACUUGAACACCUUCUGAAGCCUUGGAGAAUGAAGGAGCUGCUCUUGUUGAGAAGAAAAGAGAACAGCAAAGAAAAAGGUGUCAGAAGUUUGCAAAAGCAGGAAGAGAUAAAUUAAAACAAAUCCUGUGUAAGCUGGUUUGAGUUCAGCAUUUCGCAACCGAUGUGGUUAACUGAGUUGUAUUAUUGCCAUUCACAACAUCAAGGCACAUGAGAAUGAGAAAUAGAGGACGGAAAGGAAAAGAAUGUGGUGUAUGGAAUCUGGGAAUUCCACCAGUGCCCUUAAAUUCCACAAACCGAGUGAGGUUCCAGAGUGCCCUGCAGCAAACUUGUAUCAGAGAACAGUGAUUUGCUGACUCUUUUCUCAAUGUUUCUUGCAAGAGUGUUCUGAAAAAUACGGAGUCAUUUCAGUCAAUGAGUUGUUGUUCUCCCCCUCACCACGUUUCUGUGGUCACUGUCACCAAUGGAAAUCACAAGCUCGUUAUUAUCACUUGAGCUGGCCUACACCAAUUCCCUUGAUCCAGUGGACUGAUGAUCCAUCGGUAUCCUGCUUUCUUCAUGCCCCAGUCAAGGUAGAAUGGGGAAAUACAGUUUUCUGCUCUCUGUGAGAAGAGCACAUGUUCAGAAAGAACCUGACUUUUGCUCUGGCCUGGAUGUAUAUAAGUAGUUUGGUAUGCAAGAAUCAGCUGUUGAAGCCUACAAGUUAUUCAGGUCCAGUGAAUUCAGUGCAGAUCCUUCUGACUGACAGCAGCAUCCAGGCACCUACUGACAGAGGUGUGUGCAGUUUGUGUGAUUUGAAAUAGGCCUUUGAUUACAAAAGAAAGCUUUAAUACAAACAGCAGCAGCAUCAAAGCAAAAAUCUAGAUUUUGCUGACCUUAAUAGCCAUUUUAACAGUAGCAAUCCAUAACAAAUAGAAAUGCCCCUUCAGUGCAAUUACUGUAUUCACUUAUUUUUCUUGACACGUGGGCCAAUCCUGAAACAUCCCAAAUGGAUUUUUCUCAACCUUUCCUAAAGCCCUUUAUAUGGGCCUUGUUGGAGAUGACAGAACACAUUUUGUCCUUUUUGUGAGUGUGUUUUGUUUUAAUUCUUAUCCUGACCU